CUGUGGUUGUAGUGAAUGUUUAUUCAUUAAUUUCACCGUGCAGGGCUUACACCACCGCUGUGGGUCUCCGCGUGUAUCAGAAUACUUUCGGCAGUGAAGAGAAGACGAAGUGCUGUGUAUAAUGUCUUAUAAAAAUGUAUAAUUGAAAAGA